rnacentral:rRNA from 1 species
CCUACGGGUGGCAGCAGUGGGGAAUAUUGCACAAUGGGGGAAACCCUGAUGCAGCGACGCCGCGUGAGUGAAGAAGUAAUUCGUUAUGUAAAGCUCUAUCAGCAGGGAAGAAAAUGACGGUACCUGAGGAAGAAGGCCCGGCUAACUACGUGCCAGCAGCCGGGGGAAUACGUAGGGGGCAAGCGUUAUCCGGAUUGACUGGGUGUAAAGGGAGCGUAGACGGCAGUGCAAGUCUGGAGUGAAAGGCGGGGGCUCAACCCCCGGACUGCUCUGGAAACUGUACGGCUGGAGUGCAGGAGAGGUAAGUGGAAUUCGUAGGGUAGCGGUGAAAUGCGUAGAUAUUAGGAGGAACACCAGUGGCGAAGGCGGCUUACUGGACUGUAACUGACGUUGAGGCUCGAAAGCGUGGGGAGCAAACAGGAUUAGAUACCCCAGUAGUC